rnacentral:lncRNA from 1 species
CAAAUCCAUUUUUACUCUUCCCAAGAUUUUAAUAUUCAUGAUUUGAUAGGAUAGUAUAUUUUAUUUACACGAUAAUUUAUUUUAUUCAAAAAUUAAUUUGAAAGCUGAAUAUAAUGUCUAAUUUUAAAUGUUUAACCACACUUCUCACCUACCAAAUAUACGAAUUUAUCAAAUCCCACCGCUCAAUAUAAUUUUCUAAAUAUUAACAAAUUAUCAAUGUAAAAUCAAAUAUAAUAUCUUAAUUACUAUCGCAUCAUUAAUCACAAUAUUUAUACAUUACUUCUAUAUUAACAAUUUGAUGAUAUUUAGCGAACUAAAUUAGAUUAUAGUUUUAAUUAUAAUAUAAUUUAAAAAAUUUGAGCCAAAAAUUACAACGAAUGAGAGUUUGAGGACCAAAAUAUCACACUCCUCUUAGUUUGUG